UUCAUCUUUGUAGACCACUUCUUUCGGCUUUUCUUCUCUUCUUGCCCGUACCAGUUUCGUUUCUUCACUCAGUAACAUGUGAUAUUCAGUUACUAGUCCUCGAUCACAGAUCUAAUGUUCUUUAGGCAUCUCGAUUGAAUCGGGCAACUUCAGAGGAAGGUAUUUAUAGUCCUCGAUCGCAAACCUAAUUUUCUUUACAUAUCGAUUGAAUUCGUCAAGUUAAGAGAAGGUGCUUUUAUAAAUAUUAUAUUUUCCCCUUAAUUUUCCUUUUUCUGUCCCUCGUCGUCUGUUCUCUGGACAUGAACUUCUUGGCUCUUUAGUCUUUAGAUAUUACUCAGUCUUUCUCGCUUCUUUAUGUUCGUAUAUGGUUUUUUGGCCUAACUUUUUUGUGUUCAUUUUUUUUACUAUUAUUAGAAAUUCUGUAACCUUCACAAUGUUGGUCUUUGUUUUGGUUCGUAAUGAUUGAAUUGAAGUUUAAGUAUCUCACUUUCAAAAUUUGAUAUUGAUGUCUCCCCCAAAAAAAAAUUUUUUUUGAUAUUGAUGAACAUAUCAUUCCGUGUAUCCCAUUGUAUUUUAAAACGGCUUCAGCGUUUUUGGUUAAAAGGUAGUAUUUAUUUUAUGCUCUUUGCCUUUUAUGUCUUAUCUUGCAACUGAUAAAAAGUCCAGGGAAACAUUGACAAGUGCUGGAUUGUACCUCCUCAAACCUGUGUUUACACACACGUCCAAUUCAAUCAUUACGUAUAGCAUUUUUUAUGUCGGUUAAAAAACAUUUUCUGUUGUUGUUGAGAAAACAGAAAGGAUAGCGAUGGAAGCAGAAUCGGAAUAUCAAAGUUUGGAUGAACUAAUACCGGAGGCACUACGGCUAAUCUUUAGCAGAGUCACUCUCAAAGAUAGAGUGAGUGAACCUCAUUUCUGUCACGAGAUAGACCUUAUGAAAUGGAGCAACUGUCCCCAGCAGCCUGACCAACUAGAUCAAAUCGUCCAGAUGCUCAUCACCAGAAGCUCUGGUUCCAUCCGUACGCUAUGUGUUUCUGGUCUCCAAUCUGACUCCAUCUUCACUUUCAUUGCACAAAAUGCGGCCUGUCUCCAAACUCUGAGAAUUCCCAAGAGCUGCUUGAAUGAUUUCAUAGUAGAACAGAUUGCUGGAAGGCUUUCAAUGAUUUCUUUCUUAGACGUGAGCUACUGUAUCAACAUGGGUGCACGUGGACUUGAGGUGAUCGGAAAGAAUUGCACCCUUCUGGAAGGGUUAUGCAGGAACAUGCAUUCAUGGGACACUGGAAAUCAUGACGAGUCUUCACGAGAUGAUGAAGCAAUGGCAAUUGCUUCCACGAUGCCUAACCUCAAGCAUCUUGAAAUUGCUUGCCAUUGGAUGACCACAGAAGGUGUUCGUAAGAUACUCAGUGCUUGUUCGAAGCUUGGGUGUUUUGAUAUGUGGGGAUGUGAGAAUGUUGAAGCUGGAAACUUAGGUCUGCACAAGUUUCCAAAACUCACAGUAUGGGGGCCACGUGCUUAUGACUGUUUUGACAGGGGAGACGAUCCAUUGGAGGCAAUGGAAAUAGAAUGAACAUGAUAUACCAAGUUAUACAUAUUAUGAGGAUCUCACCUGGCAACUCAUGGCUGGUGGCAUGGGACAAUUUUGUGAUUAUCAAAGUAAGCCAUGCUUUAUGCAGGUAAGGCAGACGAUGAAUUCGAAGAUUCUGAAGUAUAUUGGUCUCCAUCUCCAUAAGCCCCACUAUAGACACAGACACACUUUUGAUUUGAGUUGCAUGAUCUGUGACUAUUAACCAACGCUCCUACUUAUUACUCUCAGAUUUUUUUGGUUGAAGUUGACAAUUGACUUACUGUUAACUUUCUGUCUUCUUAUCUUUGUGGUUCCAAAGCCAAAGGUUUGGCAGCUCCCAUGGUUUCUUCUCCUCAUCUAUCAGAGCGUGACCCUUGUCCGUUUGCUGAUGCUCAUUUAUACCGUUAGGAUGCGGGGGCACUGCACUAUGUCACUAUUACCAGGCCAAAAAUAUCCUUCAGUGUGAAUAAAGUUUGCCAAUUCAUGCAAGAACCCAGACUGGGGUAAUGAUCCUAAUGACAGGCGCUCAGCAUCUGGUUCAUGUAUCAUUCUUGGUGGUAAUUUGAUUUCCUGGGCAGCCAAAUAGCAGCCAGUAGUAGUUGCUCAGUCUUCAACUGAGGCUGAAUAUCGAAGUCUGGCAAAUGUAACACCUGAGUUAACUUGGUUACAAAGCUGGCUUACAAAAUUGGGAGUCAAUACAGCUCGGAGCAUUCCUCUUGUUCUAUGUGAUAAUUUCAGGACUGUGUUAUGUUGUCACAUAAUCCUGUUCAUCACAGAACUAAGCACAUGGAGCUGGAUGUUUUCUUUGUACGGGCGAUUGCCAAAAAGCUUUCUGUUCGACAUAUGCCCACAAUGUUUCUAGCUGCAGCUAUCUUCACAAAGCAUCUAUCAACUUUAGGCUUUGAAUAUUUGAAAACUAAACUCAAGGUAGCUGAUGCAACUUUACCCACCUUGACUAUACGUGAGGCUAUUGGAUACGCUGCUGUCGUAUGAACAUGAAUGCACAUGGGCUUUGUAGGAAAUGGGAUACUGUGGGCAAGCCUUUAGAGCAGCACGCCCAUGAGCAACGAAUAAUGAUCCCGGCAAAGUGGCACUUGGAGCACGAAAGAUUUCUCAGGCGUGAAGAAUUAAAGAACCAAGUAUUUUUACUGCCCACACCUUUUCUUCAACACAAGAAAAACGAUGGUUUGUGGAAUGUGGCGUCAAAUUUGGAUGUGGUAAAUAAAUUACAAGGAUAAAGUCACUGAA